CGCAGCCUGAUGCAGCCAUGCCGCGUGUAUGAAGAAGGCCUUCGGGUUGUAAAGUACUUUCAGUCGUGAGGAAGGUGGUAGUGUUAAUAGCACCAUCAUUUGACGUUAGCGACAGAAGAAGCACCGGCUAACUCCGUGCCAGCAGCCGCGGUAAUACGGAGGGUGCGAGCGUUAAUCGGAAUUACUGGGCGUAAAGCGCAUGCAGGUGGUUCGUUAAGUCAGAUGUGAAAGCCCGGGGCUCAACCUCGGAAUAGCAUUUGAAACUGUCGGACUAGAGUACUGUAGAGGGGGGUAGAAUUUCAGGUGUAGCGGUGAAAUGCGUAGAGAUCUGAAGGAAUACCAGUGGCGAAGGCGGCCCCCUGGACAGAUACUGACACUCAGAUGCGAAAGCGUGGGGAGCAAACAGGAUUAGAUACCCUGGUAGUCCACGCCGUAAACGAUGUCUACUUGGAGGUUGUGGCCUUGAGCCGUGGCUUUCGGAGCUAACGCGUUAAGUAGACCGCCUGGGGAGUACGGUCGCAAGAUUAAAACUCA
rnacentral:rRNA from 1 species